GGGUGCAUAAUUUAGUGGUUCGAAUACUCGUCUUCCAAACGAGAUACCCGGGUUCGAUUCCCGGUGCACUCA
rfam:Protomyces lactucaedebilis strain 12-1054 BCR37scaffold_16, whole genome shotgun sequence.